rnacentral:rRNA from 1 species
AGAAUGAACGUUGGCGGCGUGGAUUAGGCAUGCAAGUCGAGCGCGAACCCCGCAAGGGGGGAGAGCGGCAAACGGGGUAGUAACGGGUAGGUGACGUACCCUCGGGUCGGGGAUAGCCACGGGAAACUGUGGGUAAUACCCGAUGAUCUCUUGAAGUGUGGUAAUUUCGAGAGCAAAGGUGAGAUUCCACCUGAGGAGCGGCCUGCUUCGUAUUAGCUAGUUGGUAGGGUAAUGGCCUACCAAGGCAACGAUGCGUAGGGGGUGUGAGAGCAUGACCCCCACCACUGGGACUGAGAUACUGCCCAGACACCUACGGGUGGCUGCAGUCGAGAAUCUUCGGCAAUGGGCGCAAGCCUGACCGAGCGACGCCGCGUGUGGGAUGAAGGCCCUUGGGUUGUAAACCACUGUCAGAGGGGAUGAAGUGCACGUGAGCAAUCUCAUGUGUUUGACAUAGCCUCAGAGGAAGCACGGGCUAAGUUCGUGCCAGCAGCCGCGGUAAUACGAACUGUGCGAACGUUAUUCGGAAUCACUGGGCUUACAGGGUGCGUAGGCGGCCUGUUAAGUAGGGUGUGAAAUCCCCCGGCUCAACCGGGGAAUGGCGCCCUAAACUAGCGGGCUCGAGUGAGGCAGGGGUGUGUGGAACUCUCGGUGGAGCGGUGAAAUGUGUUGAUAUCGAGAGGAACGCCGGUGGCGAAAGCGACACACUGGGUCUUGUCUGACGCUGAGGCACGGAAGCCAGGGGAGCGAACGGGAUUAGAUACCCCGGUAGUCCUGGCUGUAAACGAUGAGCACUAGUUGGGAGGAACGCAAGUUCUUCCGAACGGAGCGAAAGUGUUAAGUGCU